CCAAUAGCGUAUAUUAAAGUUGUUGCAGUUAAAAAGCUCGUAGUUGAAUUUCGAGAUCAAAUUGUUGGUCGUGCCUUGGUACGCACUGGCAUUAUUGGUUUCUCCCUUCUGAAGAACCAUGAUGUCAUUAAUUUGGUGUCUUGGGGAAUCAGGACUGUUACUUUGAAAAAAUUAGAGUGUUUAAAGCAGGCUCGCGCUUGAAUACAUUAGCAUGGAAUAAUGAAAUAGGACGUUUGAUUCUAUUUUGUUGGUUUCUAGGAUCGACGUAAUGAUUAAUAGGGAUAGUUGGGGGCAUUAGUAUUCAAUUGUCAGAGGUGAAAUUCUUGGAUUUAUUGAAGACUAACUACUGCGAAAGCAUUUGCCAAGGAUGUUUUCAUUAAUCAAGAACGAAAGUUAGGGGAUCGAAGACGAUCAGAUACCGUCGUAGUCUUAACCAUAAACUAUGCCGACUAGGGAUCGGAUGAUGUUAAUUUUUUAAUGACUCAUUCGGCGCCUUACGGGAAACCAAAGUGUUGGGUUC
rnacentral:misc_RNA from 1 species